AUUGAACGCUGGCGGCAUGCCUUACACAUGCAAGUCGAACGGCAGCACGGGUGCUUGCACCUGGUGGCGAGUGGCGAACGGGUGAGUAAUACAUCGGAACGUACCUUAUCGUGGGGGAUAACGCAGCGAAAGCUGUGCUAAUACCGCAUACGCCCUGAGGGGGAAAGCGGGGGAUCGAAAGACCUCGCGCGAUUAGAGCGGCCGAUGCCUGAUUAGCUUGUUGGUGGUGUAAAAGCCCACCAAGGCGACGAUCAGUAGCUGGUAUGAGAGGACGAUCAGCCACACUGGGACUGAGACACGGCCCAGACUCCUACGGGAGGCAGCAGUGGGGAAUUUUGGACAAUGGGGGCAACCCUGAUCCAGCAAUGCCGCGUGAGUGAAGAAGGCCUUCGGGUUGUAAAGCUCUUUUGUCAGGGAAGAAACACCGGCUCUAACACAGUCCGGGAAUGACGGUACCUGAAGAAUAAGCACCGGCUAACUACGUGCCAGCAGCCGCAGUAA
rnacentral:rRNA from 1 species